AUUGAACGCUGGCGGCAGGCCUAACACAUGCAAGUCGAACGGUAACAGGAAGAAGCUUGCUUCUUUGCUGAUGAGUGGCGGACGGGUGAGUAAUGUCUGGGAAACUGCCUGAUGGAGGGGGAUAACUACUGGAAACGGUAGCUAAUACCGCAUAACGUCGCAAGACCAAAAAGGGGGACCUUCGGGCCUCUUGGCAUCGGAUGUGCCCAGAUGGGAUUAGCUAGUAGGUGGGGUAACGGCUCACCUAGGCGACGAUCCCUAGCUGGUCUGAGAGGAUGACCAGCCACACUGGAACUGAGACACGGUCCAGACUCCUACGGGAGGCAGCAGUGGGGAAUAUUGCACAAUGGGCGCAAGCCUGAUGCAGCCAUGCCGCGUGUAUGAAGAAGGCCUUCGGGUUGUAAAGUACUUUCAGCGGGGAGGAAGGGAGUAAAGUUAAUACCUUUGCUCAUUGACGUUACCCGCAGAAGAAGCACCGGCUAACUCCGUG
rnacentral:rRNA from 1 species